UACGGAGGGUGCGAGCGUUGUUCGGAAUCACUGGGCGUAAAGCGCGUGUAGGCGGCCUGCUAAGUCUGAUGUGAAAGCCCGAGGCUCACCCUCGGAAGCGCAAUGGAAACUGGCAGACUGGAGUCCCGGAGAGGAGAGUGGAAUUCCUGGUGUAGCGGUGAAAUGCGUAGAUAUCAGGAGGAACACCGGUGGCGAAGGCGGCCCUCUGGACGGUGACUGACGCUGAGACGCGAAAGCGUGGGGAGCAAACAGG
rnacentral:rRNA from 1 species